UCAGGUGGCCGCAGAGAAUAGGCCCAAGCGACUGUUUACCAAAAACAUAGGUUUCUGCUAAGUCGCAAGACGAUGUAUAGGAGCUGACGCCUGCCCGGUGCUGGAAGGUUAAGGGGAUCUGUUAGAGCAAUCGAAGCAGUGAACUUAAGCCCCAGUAAACGGCGGCCGUAACUAUAACGGUCCUAAGGUAGCGAAAUUCCUUGUCGGGUAAGUUCCGACCCGCACGAAAGGCGUAACGAUUUGGGCACUGUCUCAACAACAGACUCGGUGAAAUUGUAAUUCCGGUGAAGAUGCCGGAUACCUGCGACAGGACGGAAAGACCCCAUGGAGCUUUACUGUAGCUUGACAUUGGGUCUUGGUACUACAUGUACAGGAUAGGUGGGAGGCUUUGAAACCAGGACGCCAGUUUUGGCGGAGCCAUCCUUGGGAUACCACCCUUGUAGUACUGGGACUCUAACCAUAGGCCAUGAAUCUGGUCUUGGGACACUGUCAGGUGGGCAGUUUGACUGGGGCGGUCGCCUCCCAAAAGGUAACGGAGGCGCUCAAAGGUUCUCUCAGUACGGUCGGAAAUCGUACGUAGAG
rnacentral:rRNA from 1 species